GCUUAGAAGCAGCCACUCAUUAAAAGAGUGCGUAAUAGCUCACUGGUCGAGUGACCCUGCGCCGAAAAUUCAACGGGGCUAAAUUAUACACCGAAGCUUGGGAUACCGCAAGGUAUGGUAGGAGAGCGUUCUGUAAGGAGUGAAGUGAGAGCGAAAGCGUUCGUGGACUUUACAGAAGUGAGAAUGCCGGAAUGAGUAGCGAGAAAUAUGUGAGAAUCAUAUUGGCCGAAAGUCUAAGGUUUUUGGAGGAAGGUUCGUCCGCUCCAAGUAAGUCGGGAGCUAAGGUGAGGCCUAACGGCGUAGCCGAUGCACAUACGGUAGAUAUUCCGUAACCACCGAAAGAUUUAAACACAGGGACACCUUGAAAGGGCAUAUCCCGGGAGUUGGUUUACCCGGGCGUAAGGGAUCGAAAUUUGAGUAGAGAAGUAUGUUUGGACGAGGGCGAGAAAAGCUGUGCGUAUAUUUUAGGUGCCCGUACCGCAAACCGACACAGGUGGACAGGAAGAGGAUUCUAAGGCCAACGGGAGAAGGGUAAUUAAGGAACUCGGCAAAUUGACCCCGUAACUUAGGGAUAAGGGGUGCUCAUAGGAAUAUGAGCCGCAGAGAAUAGGCCCAGGCAACUGUUUAUCAAAAACACAGGUCUCUGCCAAAUCGAAAGAUGAAGUAUAGGGGCUGACACCUGCCCGGUGCUGGAAGGUUAAGAGGAGGAGUGAGAGCUCCGAAUUGAAGCCCCAGUAAACGGCGGCCGUAACUAUAACGGUCCUAAGGUAGCGAAAUUCCUUGUCGGGUAAGUUCCGACCCGCACGAAUGGUGUAAUGAUCUGGGCACUGUCUCAAUUACCCGCCCGGCGAAAUUGUAGUACCGGUGAAGAUGCCGGUUACCCGCGACAAGACGGAAAGACCCCAUGGAGCUUUACUGCAGCUUGAUAUUGGGUUUCGGUAAUCUAUGUACAGGAUAGGCGGGAGACUAGGAAGUAAAGGCGCCAGCUUUUACGGAGUCGCCCUUGGGAUACCGCUCUUAGAUUGCUGGAAUUCUAACCUGCGGCCAUGAAACUGGUCGGGGAACAUUGUCAGGCGGGCAGUUUGACUGGGGCGGUCGCCUCCUAAAGAGUAACGGAGGCGCUCAAAGGUUGGCUCAGCACGGACGGAAACCGUGCCUCUGAGUGUAAACGCACAAGCCAGCCUAACUGCGAGGAUGACGGUCCGAGCAGUAACGAAAGUUGGAGUUAGUGAUCCGGCGGUAUGUGAAUGGAAAUGC
rnacentral:rRNA from 1 species